rnacentral:rRNA from 1 species
GAUGAACGCUGACAGAAUGCUUAACACAUGCAAGUCCACUUGAACUUCGGUUUGGGUGGCGGACGGGUGAGUAACGCGUAAAGAACUUGCCUCACAGAUAGGGACAACAUUUGGAAACGAAUGCUAAUACCUGAUAUUAUGAUUAUAUGGCAUCGUAUAAUUAUGAAAGCUAUAUGCGCUGUGAGAGAGCUUUGCGUCCCAUUAGCUAGUUGGAGAGGUAACGGCUCACCAAGGCGAUGAUGGGUAGCCGGCCUGAGAGGGUGAUCGGCCACAAGGGGACUGAGACACGGCCCGUACUCCUACGGGAGGCAGCAGUGGGGAAUAUUGGACAAUGGACCAAGAGUCUGAUCCAGCAAUUCUGUGUGCACGAUGAAGUUUUUCGGAAUGUAAAGUGCUUUCAGUUGGGAAGAAAAAAAUGACGGUACCAACAGAAGAAGUGACGGCUAAAUACGUG